UACGAGGGGGGCAAGUGUUGUUCGGAAUCACUGGGCGUAAAGGGAGCGUAGGCGGAUGUUUAAGUUGGAUGUUUAAAACCGGGGCCCAACCCCGGAGCGGCAUCCAAAACUGGGCAUCUUGAAUAGGUCAGAGGCUGGUGGAAUUGGAGGUGUAGCGGUGGAAUGCGUAGAGAUCUCCAAGAACACCUAUUGCGAAGGCAGCCAGCUGGGGCCAUAUUGACGCUGAGGCUCGAAAGCAUGGGGAGCAAACAGG
rnacentral:rRNA from 1 species